GAUGAACGCUGGCGGCGUGCCUAAUACAUGCAAGUCGAGCGAACAGAUGAUGAGCUUGCUCCUCUGACGUUAGCGGCGGACGGGUGAGUAACACGUGGAUAACCUACCUAUAAGACUGGGAUAACUUCGGGAAACCGGUGCUAAUACCGGAUAAUAUAUUGAACCGCAUGGUUCAAUAUUGAAAGACGGUUUUGCUGUCACUUAUAGAUGGAUCCGCGCCGCAUUAGCUAGUUGGUAAGGUAACGGCGUACCAAGGCAACGAUGCGUAGCCGACCUGAGAGGGUGAUCGGCCACACUGGAACUGAGACACGGUCCAGACUCCUACGGGAGGCAGCAGUAGGGAAGCUUCCGCAAUGGGCGAAAGCUUGACGGAGCAACGCCGCGUGAGUGAUGAAGGUCUUCGGAGCGUAAAACUCUGUUAUUAGGGAAGAACAAAUGUGUAAGUAACUAUGCACGUCUUGACGGUACCUAAUCAGAAAGCCACGGCUAACUACGUG
rnacentral:rRNA from 1 species